CCCCCGUUCUCUUCCUCACCUACCCUGCUGAAACUCUCCUCCUUCACAAAUCUCUUCUGAAACUCUUCGUUUUUCCUUUGUUCUUCUUGAAAUCCUUCUCUUCAAUUAUUGUUCUCGAUUUUCCUUUAUGGUUUGUGGGAGUCCACACAUAAAGUGGAAGCAUUGUGAUGCUGUUGCCAAGAUAUUUGCUGAAAACGACUUUGGGACAUCCAAAAGAUAUUGUUGGUUGUGGGCCUAAUGCUAAAAGUGGGCCUUAUGAAGGGGAUGACGAGAUCAUUUAUGAUGAAUUAAAUGUUACUGAUGGGAUAAUAGUGAAAUUGAACGGUUAGAUGGAGGACAUUUACUGUCUGAUGAUGAUGAUGAGGAGAUAGCUGCAAUUAAAGAUCAAUUUAGGCUAGUUACAAAGAAAAUCAAAGAUAAGUCUGUCACUGAAGAAGACAUCGGAUCUGAGCUUGUAUUAGAGGGAAAUGAAGCCAAUUCAGAUGGGUUAGGACAGGGAAAGGAUACUGAUUAUCCAAAAUCUUCUGAUAUUGGUAGCUAUGAGACGGACUCAGAUAGCCAAACAGUUUCCAAAAAGACUGGUUUUGGAAAGACACUGGAAUGGGCUGCACAGACCGAGCAUUGAAGAGAGAGAUUUAACCUAGAAGACAAACAAAAAAGGAAGAGAGAAGACAGUGAAGUUUGCAGUGAAACAAAAUGGAGAAAACAAGGAUUUAUGAUGAGUUGCAAUGUAUGUGGCCUUAAGGGACAUAAUAUAAGUUGUCCAAAUAAAAACCAAUCCAAUAUUGAAACUGAAGGCGAUCAAACAGUAAAUCCUGAAUAUGGAUUGGGUAGGCCAAGAGGGAGAACAAUUAUGCAAGGUUUUGGCAUGUAUACAAAUGAACGAAUCGGUCUUUAAAUU